rnacentral:rRNA from 1 species
UUAGGAAUUUUGCACAAUGGGGGAAACCCUGAUGCAGCAACGCCGCGUGGAUGAUGAAGGCCUUCGGGUCGUAAAAUCCUUUUCAGAGGGAAGAAUCGGACGGUACCUCUGGAAUAAGCCUCGGCUAACUACGUGCCAGCAGCCGCGGUAACACGUAGGAGGCGAGCGUUAUCCGGAUUUACUGGGCGUAAAGAGCGUGUAGGCGGUUUCGCAAGUUGGGCGUGAAAGCCCCCGGCUUAACUGGGGAGGGUCGUUCAAUACUGCGGGACUUGAGGGUGGAUGAGGAGACCAGAAUUCCCGGUGUAGUGGUGAAAUGCGUAGAUAUCGGGAGGAAUACCAGUGGCGAAGGCGGGUCUCUAGGCCACUCCUGACGCUGAGACGCGAAAGCGUGGGGAGCGAACGGA